rnacentral:tRNA from 1 species
UAGCUCUGUGGUAGAGCACGUGCUUAGCAUGCACGAGGUCCUGGGUUCCAUCCCCAG